rnacentral:rRNA from 1 species
GGGUUGUGAGGUUAAGCGACUAAGCGUACACGGUGGAUGCCCUGGCAGUCAGAGGCGAUGAAGGACGUGCUAAUCUGCGAUAAGCGUCGGUAAGGUGAUAUGAACCGUUAUAACCGGCGAUUUCCGAAUGGGGAAACCCAGUGUGAUUCGUCACACUAUCAUUAACUGAAUCCAUAGGUUAAUGAGGCGAACCGGGGGAACUGAAACAUCUAAGUACCCCGAGGAAAAGAAAUCAACCGAGAUUCCCCCAGUAGCGGCGAGCGGACGGGGAGCAGCCCAGAGCCUGAAUCAGUGUGUGUGUUAGUGGAAGCGUCUGGAAAGGCGUGCGAUACAGGGUGACAGCCCCGUACACAAAAAUGCACAUAUUGUGAGCUUGAUGAGUAGGGCGGGACACGUGGUAUCCUGUCUGAAUAUGGGGGGACCAUCCUCCAAGGCUAAAUACUCCUGACUGACCGAUAGUGAACCAGUACCGUGAGGGAAAGGCGAAAAGAACCCCGGCGAGGGGAGUGAAAAAGAACCUGAAACCGUGUACGUACAAGCAGUGGGAGCACGCUUAGGCGUGUGACUGCGUACCUUUUGUAUAAUGGGUCAGCGACUUAUAUUCUGUAGCAAGGUUAACCGAAUAGGGGAGCCGAAGGGAAACCGAGUCUUAACUGGGCGUUAAGUUGCAGGGUAUAGACCCGAAACCCGGUGAUCUAGCCAUGGGCAGGUUGAAGGUUGGGUAACACUAACUGGAGGACCGAACCGACUAAUGUUGAAAAAUUAGCGGAUGACUUGUGGCUGGGGGUGAAAGGCCAAUCAAACCGGGAGAUAGCUGGUUCUCCCCGAAAGCUAUUUAGGUAGCGCCUCGUGAAUUCAUCUCCGGGGGUAGAGCACUGUUUCGGCAAGGGGGUCAUCCCGACUUACCAACCCGAUGCAAACUGCGAAUACCGGAGAAUGUUAUCACGGGAGACACACGGCGGGUGCUAACGUCCGUCGUGAAGAGGGAAACAACCCAGACCGCCAGCUAAGGUCCCAAAGUCAUGGUUAAGUGGGAAACGAUGUGGGAAGGCCCAGACAGCCAGGAUGUUGGCUUAGAAGCAGCCAUCAUUUAAAGAAAGCGUAAUAGCUCACUGGUCGAGUCGGCCUGCGCGGAAGAUGUAACGGGGCUAAACCAUGCACCGAAGCUGCGGCAGCGACGCUUAUGCGUUGUUGGGUAGGGGAGCGUUCUGUAAGCCUGCGAAGGUGUGCUGUGAGGCAUGCUGGAGGUAUCAGAAGUGCGAAUGCUGACAUAAGUAACGAUAAAGCGGGUGAAAAGCCCGCUCGCCGGAAGACCAAGGGUUCCUGUCCAACGUUAAUCGGGGCAGGGUGAGUCGACCCCUAAGGCGAGGCCGAAAGGCGUAGUCGAUGGGAAACAG